GGGUCGAUGGCGUAGCUGGUUAUCGCAUCUGUCUAACAUGUAUCUGAACUAUACCCGCACAGAAGGUCCUCAGUUCGAACCUGGGUCGACUCA